rnacentral:rRNA from 1 species
GACGAACGCUGGCGGCGUGCCUAACACAUGCAAGUCGAACGGAGCUAGACGCUGAGGACGUAGCUUGCUAUUGAAUCUUGUUUAGCUUAGUGGCGGACGGGUGAGUAACGCGUGAGCAACCUACCUUUCAGAGGGGGAUAACGUUUGGAAACGAACGCUAAUACCGCAUGAUAUUAUCGGGCAGCAUUGCUUGAUAAUCAAAGGAGCAAUCCGCUGAAAGAUGGGCUCGCGUCCGAUUAGGUAGUUGGCGGGGUAACGGCCCACCAAGCCGACGAUCGGUAGCCGGACUGAGAGGUUGAACGGCCACAUUGGGACUGAGACACGGCCCAG